rnacentral:rRNA from 1 species
AGAACGAACGCUGGCGGCAUGCCUAAUACAUGCAAGUCGAACGAACACUUCGGUGUUAGUGGCGCACGGGUGCGUGACGCGUGGGAAUCUGCCCUUGGGUUCGGAAUAACAGUUGGAAACGACUGCUAAUACCGGAUGAUAUCGAAAGAUCAAAGAUUUAUCGCCCAGGGAUGAGCCCGCGUAGGAUUAGCUAGUUGGUGAGGUAAAGGCUCACCAAGGCGACGAUCCUUAGCUGGUCUGAGAGGAUGAUCAGCCACACUGGGACUGAGACACGGCCCAGACUCCUACGGGAGGCAGCAGUAGGGAAUAUUGGACAAUGGGCGCAAGCCUGAUCCAGCAAUGCCGCGUGAGUGAUGAAGGCCUUAGGGUUGUAAAGCUCUUUACCCGAGAUGAUAAUGACUAGUAUCGGG